UAUAACACUAAGUUGUAAUAUAAUGCUAAAUUGUAAUGGAUAUGAUCAUGUAUCACACUAAUCCAAAACCAGACAAACCACAUUAGAGGUUGAAGUUAUGGGCCAAUGAAACUAAUGUAUUUCAUCAGGGAAGAUAGUAUCCGUCAUAUUUACUGAUGAGAAAUUUUAAGGACUGCAUUCUCUCAUCUCAUUUUUAUCUACAAAUUGUAGAUUGACUGGACAGCUCUUAAAUCAUAACAGAAGUGGGCAAACUGUAACCCUCAGCUCAAUUUUCCAAAGCCUUCUGCAAGCAAUCACUUCUGUUAUCAAUACACUGCUGCAUGGGAAUGCAGAGUAAAACAGAUAAAGAAGAGAAAUACAAAACUAGGAAAACAAACUGGAUUUCUAUUAAAAAUCCUUCUAGACAGCUCACAAAAAAUUGAACAUAUUUAGAUCUUGCUACAAAUGAAAAACUCAGGCUUGUGAAAAAGAAGAUCCAUAUCAAAUUAUUUUGCAGAACUUCUAAGAACUGCUACAUCAAUCUUGGAAUGGUCUUGAGCUUUUUUCCCCAUGAAAAUGCUUUAUAUCCAAAGAAUGCAAUGGAGGAAGCAGUCUGGAAUUUACCACCCAGUCACAUUUAAGUUCAUUCCUGAUAGAAACUAUUGGAUAUAAAGCUAUAAAACAGGCCCAAGUGUGCUAUUGCACUGUGAGCAGGUUUGUGCAAUUUUUAAGUACAAAACCACCCUUAGGCUUUGAAUGGCAUUCUGCAAGAAGACCACAUCUUUGCGAUUCCUCUUUGGACAACAAGAAGAUUGGGAUUGCCCACAAGUGUUCUAGAAAACUGCUCCUUUUGAGAGACCACAAAAUAGCAGCAUUUGGCAUGUCUGGAGCACUGGGAGACAAGAUAAGGCUAUCAUAACCCAAACCUCAGUUCAAAACCUUCAAAAAGUACACAAGGUUUGCAUACUUCUCUUCUUAACCACUUUCUGAAAUUGUUAAUUGUACUGCACUGUAGAGAGUGAAAAGCUAUAGUGGAGGCUCUCUAUUUAAGAGGGAAAGUUCAAAAUCUUCAGUUGGUAGAAAAUGUCAGUAGAUGGCGAAAGUCUCCAUUGUACAUAAAAGGAAACACAAGGAGAAGGAAAGUAGCCUAUGAAUGAAUCCUGUUUAUAUUUUCUGGGGUAAGAACCAUUGAACUCAAUGGAAGUUAAUACAGAAUAAGCAUACAUUGCUUUCUUCUGCUUCUUAGCCCAGCACAAAGGUCUUUAUCAAGACAUUUCCUUGUUGCAGGCAAAAUAAUCUAUUCUUCAGUCUUUCCCAGUUUACGUACAGUAAAACAGAUUAAUUGUGCAACCACCAAUGAAUAUUUCCCUGGAAACUAGAAAGCCCUAGUAAGUUUGGCAGUUCUAAGAGGAGGCAUGCAUUGAUUUUUAUUUUCUGGCCCCAGAUUUCCAAUCUUUCUGAGUAUCUAUUCUGCACCUAUGUACACAUGCAGAUAAGAGACCAGGUAAUUCUGCAAAUGCGAUGCCUGUUUUACAGGCAAUUAAUUUCAAUACUCUAUGUUUUUGAAUUAGCUUUACUUCUUUUCAGGGCAUUUACACACACACACAUACACAAAACUGACUGGAAAAAUCUUCAAGCAUGGUUUUAAUAGAAUUGGCAACCCUAGUUUACAAAAUAGAGAAGAUGAUCUUCAUAAAUAUUUUUUCUGUUUAAUUUUUUAAGGAAUAUCUUUAGGGUCCCCUACUUUUUGGAUAGGUAUGACAAAAUUGCUUUAAAAGUUAUUUUUACAUCUAUCUUUAUAGUUACAUUUAAUAGUUGUAAUGUAUUUAAAUAUUACUAUAAACAUGAGUUUCAGUCAUUCACUUAAAUAAUAUUUAUGAUCAUAAUUUCUUUAUUCCUAUUUUUUUUUCAAAUUACUUCAAUAUAUUUGUCUUUUGAAGUUGUAUCAUUAAUGCUUUAAUAAUUAAAAACAAUGACUGAGGGGGAGAGAAUUAAGAAAGUCAUACAUUUAUUUUUUUUUAUCUUAGGAAGUUGCUAAGCAGAGUUAAACAUUAGCUGCUGAAACCUGGCAAAAAAGGGAAUAGUUUAAAAAAGCAAUGUAUGAUAGAUUUUGGGUAUUUUCUCUGUUGAAUCAGUAAUUAUCUUCCAUUAAAGAAAACAUAGUUCUGAAACCUACUAAAGUUUUUGCUGCACAUUUCUGAAGACUGCCAUCAGUAAGUUAGUUAGCUACAUAGAUGCAUGUGAAAUUUACAUUUUCAGACCACAAAACAGAUUUAUGUUAAAUACUAGUUUCAAAGUGGAGAAAAUAUUUUGUGAACUUUAUUUGUUUUAGCUCUUGCCAAUUUUACUGCAUGCCUGAAAAAACCCCAAUACCCGAUAUGUGAUGAAUAUGAGGUCUAAAUGCUAGACAAAUGGAAUGCUAGGAAUUUCCCUAUGUAGGCAUCAGUCCAUAGCUAUAAACCAAAUGAUGUGACCUUUGAGCUUUCCAGAUGAAACCUCUGAAGAAGCAGAAUUAUAAAAGCUAUUAUGUGGAGAGGUAUUCUAAGUGAUUGAAUAUGUAAUGCCAUGCUACUUGUAAUGUAAACAAUAAUAAAUGUAUUAAAAUAAUUGUAUUAAACAAUGGACUCUUAAGCAUUUGCAAAACUAUAUAAUGAACAAUCAUAAUUUUUUAAUUAAAUAUCAAUGCAUGUCCAAAGUGCUGUUUUUUCUUGAAAAUACAGUUUUGUUAAUUUGUUUUUAGUAUGAUUUCUUAAGUAAAAUUGAUUUUUAGAAUCACUAUCCCUUACAAUGUUACAGUGCAAUAAAUCGUAGAAAAACAAUAUUAUAUCUGAGAGUCAGACAAAUCCAUUAAACAUCCUCCAGUUUUGUGGAGAAGUAUUCCUUCUCCAUUUCUUCCCCAUCUAUUUGCCAGGA